ACUCCUACGGGAGGCAGCAGUAAGGAAUAUUGGUCAAUGGGCGAAAGCCUGAACCAGCCAUGCCGCGUGUCAGAUGAAGGUCCUCUGGAUUGUAAAUGACUUUUCUACGGGAAGAAUGAGCCGUCUGCGGACGGAAGUUGACGGUACCGUAGGAAUAAGCACCGGCUAACUACGUGCCAGCAGCCGCGGUAAUACGUAGGGGUGCAAGCGUUGUCCGGAUUUACUGGGGUUUAAAGGGUACGUAGGCGGUUGUGCCAAGUCUGGGGUGAAAGUUUGCAGCUCAACUGUAAAAUUGCCUUGGAUACUGGUCGGCUAGAGUAGUGGAGCGGUGGCUGGAAUUUAUAGUGUAGCGGUGAAAUGCUUAGAUACUAUGAGGAACACCAAUUGCGAAGGCAGGUCACUGGUCACUAACUGACGCUGAGGUACGAAAGUGUGGGGAUCAAACAGGAUUAGAUA
rnacentral:rRNA from 1 species